rnacentral:tRNA from 2 species
GCCGGGAUAGCUCAGUCGGUAGAGCAAUCGCCUCGUAAGCGAUAGGUCCUCGGUUCGAGUCCGAGUCCCGGCA